rnacentral:lncRNA from 1 species
UCCUUUCUGUUCAAAUCCUCCUUUGAACCAGGACUUGGGAAAGGAUGGGGCAGCCUGACCCUUUCUUCCCUCCGUUUCCUUGUUUUAGGGGCCCUUUUACAGAGCAUCCCAGUGACCAAGAUAGAAGAGAUGACCCUGCAUCUUCUUCUGACCGCCCUUUUAGCAUCCUUUUCCAGCCUCCUCUGAUGCUCCAUGACAGCCUCUGCAGACUCCUCCCUGGAGCCUUCCCUGGAUUCCCUCAACACCAUCGAGUGGUUUAUGCGCAGGAGAGGCAGGAGAGACCAGGUUCAGCUGGGUUUUCAACACCAACUCUACUUCCUCUGCUGCCCAACCACCGCCUGCAUGGAGGAGGAACCACAUGGAGGAGGAACUGCAACUUGAUGGGCCCUUUUCGAAGGCAGAGAUGCUUUCUGCACUUGUGA